UACGGGGGGAGCAAGCGUUGUUCGGAUUUACUGGGCGUAAAGGGCGCGUAGGCGGCCAGCACAAGUCAGUUGUGAAAUCUCCGAGCUUAACUCGGAAAGGUCAACUGAUACUGUGCGGCUAGAGUGCGGAAGGGGCAACUGGAAUUCUUGGUGUAGCGGUGAAAUGCGUAGAUAUCAGGAGGAACACCGGUGGCGAAGGCGGGUCUCUGGGCCGUAACUGACGCUGAGGAGCGAAAGCGUGGGGAGCGAACAGG
rnacentral:rRNA from 1 species